rnacentral:misc_RNA from 1 species
AAUCAUUAAAGGAUUGUAUUUCAAAUCUGAACUACACAAAAUGGAUCGAGAUGAUCCAAAAGAUCAACAACAAAACGAAAGAAAAUAGUAAAAUUGUAUCUAAUAAACCCUAAUUCUAAACAACCAUAGAAAUUCAAAUAACAGGAUUGACCCAUAAAACUAUUCUAACUCAUCAGAACUUCAAGAGCUAGUAAACUUUGUAACAGCCUUGGUGCCCUCAGAAACAGCAUGCUUAGCCAAUUCACCA